rnacentral:rRNA from 1 species
GACGAACGCUGGCGGCGUGCCUAAUACAUGCAAGUAGAACGCUGAAGGAGGAGCUUGCUUCUCUGGAUGAGUUGCGAACGGGUGAGUAACGCGUAGGUAACCUGCCUGGUAGCGGGGGAUAACUAUUGGAAACGAUAGCUAAUACCGCAUAAGAGUAGAUGUUGCAUGACAUUUGCUUAAAAGGUGCAAUUGCAUCACUACCAGAUGGACCUGCGUUGUAUUAGCUAGUUGGUGGGGUAACGGCUCACCAAGGCGACGAUACAUAGCCGACCUGAGAGGGUGAUCGGCCACACUGGGACUGAGACACGGCCCAGACUCCUACGGGAGGCAGCAGUAGGGAAUCUUCGGCAAUGGACGGAAGUCUGACCGAGCAACGCCGCGUGAGUGAAGAAGGUUUUCGGAUCGUAAAGCUCUGUUGUAAGAGAAGAACGAGUGUGAGAGUGGAAAGUUCACACUGUGACGGGAUCUUACCAGAAAGGGACGGAGAAAUACGU